rnacentral:rRNA from 1 species
CAGGUAGGCGUCCCUACAAGUUAGAAGUGAAAUCCUAAGGCUCAACCUUAGAACUGCUUUUAAAACUGUCGGGAUUGAGGUCAGAAGAGGAAAGCGGAAUUCCCGGUGUAAGGGUGAAAUCUGUAGAUAUCGGGAGGAACACCAGUGGCGAAGGCGGCUUUCUGGUCUGACCCUGACGCUAAGCUGCGAAAGCUAGGGGAGCAAACAGGAUUAGAUACCCUGGUAGUCCUAGCCGUAAACGAUGAGCACUAGGUGUCGGGGGGUAACCUUCGGCGCCGCAAGGUAACCCGUUAAGUGCUCCACCUGGGGACUACGACCGCAAGGUUAAA